AAGCGUUUCCUGGGCUAAGCGUUUCCUGAGCUAAGGUCUUACUGUGGUCUCGAGGUAGCGGUGUGUGUGAGAAGUUUGCUUUUUAAAAUUUCCGUAGUGUAAUCAUUACAUUGAAAUGGUCCGAGCUCUAAGCUAAGGCCCUGGAGAAAUAAAGAUGAAAAAAACACCUGAUUCUUCAGUGGCGCAUGGUCCAAUAGAGGAGUAGACAUAAGAAGAAACAAAUAUGUCACAGUGCUAUCCCAUCAGCAUUGGCCAAGUUUCCAUGAAUUCCUUGAGGGACCUGGUGCCUGGAAGAUGCCCACAGUUCCACAGUAUGAAGAAAAGACGCAGGGUAAAAAAAGAAAAGGAAAGAAAAAAAAAAAAAACCUAGUGAUUUUCCUGCUUAAGGAGAGCAGCAGAGGAGAGAAAGGAGCUCUCUCAUGUUAUAGGCUCCAGGAAAUAAUGCCACUACAU